rnacentral:rRNA from 1 species
AGAGUUUGAUCCUGGCUCAGAGCGAACGUUGGCGGCGUGGUUUAGACAUGCAAGUCGAGCGGAAAGGCCCUUCGGGGCACUCGAGCGGCGAACGGGAGAGUAAUACCUAGGCAAUCCACCCUAAAGACGGGGAUAGCCACUGGAAACGGUGGGUAAUACCCGAUGGCCCCCGCGGGUCUUAUGGCCUGCGGGGUAAAAGGUGAUUCCGCUUUGGGACGAGCCUAGGUCCCAUUAGCUAGUUGGUGAGGUAACGGCUCACCAAGGCGACGAUGGGUAGCGGGCCUGAGAGGGUGACCCGCCUCACUGGGACUGAGACACUGCCCAGACUCCUACGGGAGGCUGCAGUCGCGAAUCAUUGGCAAUGCGCGCAAGCGUGACCAUGCAACGCCGCGUGGGCGAUGAAGGCCUUCGGGUUGUAAAGCCCUGUCAGGGGUGAAGAAUGCUACGGGUCCACUCGUAGUUGACGUAGCCCCAAAGA